UAGUAAAUGGCAGUCCUGCCUUUGGAGGC
rnacentral:sRNA from 1 species